rnacentral:rRNA from 1 species
CUACGGGCUGCUGCAGUGAGGAAUAUUGCACAAUGGGGGGAACCCUGAUGCAGCAACGCCGCGUGGAGGAUGACGCAUUUCGGUGUGUAAACUCCUUUUAUAUGUCAAGAAAAUGACGGUAGCAUAUGAAUAAGCACCGGCUAACUCCGUGCCAGCAGCCGUCGGUAAUACGGAGGGUGCAAGCGUUACUCGGAAUCACUGGGCGUAAAGGACGCGUAGGCGGGUUGGAAAGUCAGGUGUGAAAUCCUACAGCUUAACUGUAGAACUGCACUUGAAACUUCUAAUCUAGAGUAUGGGAGGGGGAGAUGGAAUUAGUGGUGUAGGGGUAAAAUCCGUAGAUAUCACUAGGAAUACCUAAAGCGAAGGCGAUCUCCUGGAACAUUACUGACGCUAAGGCGUGAAAGCGUGGGGAGCAGACAGGAUUAGAUACCCUAGUAGUC